rnacentral:rRNA from 1 species
UACGGAGGGGGCGAGCGUUAUUCGGAAUUAUUGGGCGUAAAGGGCGCGUAGGCGGCUGAACAAGUCAAAGGUGAAAUCCCUCGGCUCAACUGAGGAACUGCCUUUGAAACUGUUCGGCUUGAGGCCGGGAGGGGGUAGCGGAAUUCCCAGUGUAGCGGUGAAAUGCGUAGAUAUUGGGAGGAACACCAGUGGCGAAGGCGGCUACCUGGACCGGUUCUGACGCUGAGGCGCGAAAGCGUGGGUAGCAAACAGG